CUUUUCUUGUUUUUAUUUGAAAUAUAACCUGCCCAUUGAUAAUAAUUUUUAACGGSCGCGGUAUUUUGACUGUGCAAAGGUAGCAUAAUCAUUAGUCUUUUAAUUGGAGGCUGGAAUGAAUGGUUGAACAAAAUGUUUACUGUCUUAUAUUUAUUCAAUUUAUAUUAGAAUUUAAUUAUUAUGUUAAAAGGCUUAAAUUUUUUUUUGGGACGAUAAGACCCUAUAGAGUUUAAUAAUAGUUAAUAUGUUUUUUGUUAGUUAUUUAAUUUCAUUUUAUUUAUUUUUUGAUUGGGGUGAUUUUUAGAUAUGUAUAACUCUUUAAUUUAUUUAUAUACUUAUUUGUUUAUUAAUAUGAUCCAUAAAUUUAUGAUUAAAAGGCUAAAUUACCUUAGGGAUAACAGCGUAAUUUUAUUUGAGAGUUCUUAUUGACAAUAAAGAUUGCGACCUCGAUGUUGGAUUAAGGUAAUAAUAUUGGGUGUAGUAGCUUAAAUAAUUAAGUCUGUUCGACUUUUAAAUCCUUACA
rnacentral:rRNA from 1 species